rnacentral:rRNA from 1 species
GAUGAACGCUGGCGGCGUGCCUAAUACAUGCAAGUCGAGCGAACGGACGAGAAGCUUGCUUCUCUGAUGUUAGCGGCGGACGGGUGAGUAACACGUGGAUAACCUACCUAUAAGACUGGGAUAACUUCGGGAAACCGGAGCUAAUACCGGAUAAUAUUUUGAACCGCAUGGUUCAAAAGUGAAAGACGGUCUUGCUGUCACUUAUAGAUGGAUCCGCGCUGCAUUAGCUAGUUGGUAAGGUAACGGCUUACCAAGGCAACGAUGCAUAGCCGACCUGAGAGGGUGAUCGGCCACACUGGAACUGAGACACGGUCCAGACUCCUACGGGAGGCAGCAGUAGGGAAUCUUCCGCAAUGGGCGAAAGCCUGACGGAGCAACGCCGCGUGAGUGAUGAAGGUCUCCGGAUCGUAAAACUCUGUUAUUAGGGAAGAACAUAUGUGUAAGUAACUGUGCACAUCUUGACGGUACCUAAUCAGAAAGCCACGGCUAACUACGUGCCAGCAGCCGCGGUAAUACGUAGGUGGCAAGCGUUAUCCGGAAUUAUUGGGCGUAAAGCGCGCGUAGGCGGUUUUUUAAGUCUGAUGUGAAAGCCCACGGCUCAACCGUGGAGGGUCAUUGGAAACUGGAAAACUUGAGUGCAGAAGAGGAAAGUGGAAUUCCAUGUGUAGCGGUGAAAUGCGCAGAGAUAUGGAGGAACACCAGUGGCGAAGGCGACUUUCUGGUCUGUAACUGACGCUGAUGUGCGAAAGCGUGGGGAUCAAACAGGAUUAGAUACCCUGGUAGUCCACGCCGUAAACGAUGAGUGCUAAGUGUUAGGGGGUUUCCGCCCCUUAGUGCUGCAGCUAACGCAUUAAGCACUCCGCCUGGGGAGUACGACCACAAGGUUGAAACUCAAAGGAAUUGACGGGGACCCGCACAAGCGGUGGAGCAUGUGGUUUAAUUCGAAGCAACGCGAAGAACCUUACCAAAUCUUGACAUCCUUUGACAACUCUAGAGAUAGAGCCUUCCCCUUCGGGGGACAAAGUGACAGGUGGUGCAUGGUUGUCGUCAGCUCGUGUCGUGAGAUGUUGGGUUAAGUCCCGCAACGAGCGCAACCCUUAAGCUUAGUUGCCAUCAUUAAGUUGGGCACUCUAAGUUGACUGCCGGUGACAAACCGGAGGAAGGUGGGGAUGACGUCAAAUCAUCAUGCCCCUUAUGAUUUGGGCUACACACGUGCUACAAUGGACAAUACAAAGGGCAGCGAAACCGCGAGGUCAAGCAAAUCCCAUAAAGUUGUUCUCAGUUCGGAUUGUAGUCUGCAACUCGACUACAUGAAGCUGGAAUCGCUAGUAAUCGUAGAUCAGCAUGCUACGGUGAAUACGUUCCCGGGUCU